rnacentral:rRNA from 1 species
AGGGUUUGAUUAUGGCUCAGGAUGAACGCUGGCGGCGUGCCUAACACAUGCAAGUCGAACGGAGUCGUUUUGGAAAUCUCUUCGGAGAUGGAAUUCUCGACUUAGUGGCGGACGGGUGAGUAACGCGUGAGCAAUCUGCCUUUAAGAGGGGGAUAACAGUCGGAAACGGCUGCUAAUACCGCAUAAAGCAUCAAAUUCGCAUGUUUUUGAUGCCAAAGGAGCAAUCCGCUUUUAGAUGAGCUCGCGUCUGAUUAGCUGGUUGGCGGGGUAACGGCCCACCAAGGCGACGAUCAGUAGCCGGACUGAGAGGUUGAACGGCCACAUUGGGACUGAGACACGGCCCAG